rnacentral:rRNA from 1 species
GUGAAAUCCCGGGGCUCAACCCCGGAACUGCAUCCGAUACUGCCUGACUUGAACAAUGGAGGGGUAGCCGGAAUUCUCGGUGUAGCAGUGAAAUGCGUGGAUAUCGAGAGGAACACUCGCGGCGAAGGCGGGCUACUGGACAUUUGUUGACGCUGAGGCUCGAAGGCCGGGGGAGCGAAAGGGAUUAGAUACCCCUGUAGUCCCGGCAGUAAACGGUGCGCGCUUGGUGUGAGGGGUUUCGACCCCCCUUGUGCCGGAGCUAACGCGUUAAGCGCGCCGCCUGGGAAGUACGGUCGCAAGACUAAAACUCAAAGAAAUUGACGGGGACCCGCACAAGCGGUGGAGUAUGUGGCUUAAUUCGAUGCAACGCGAAGAACCUUACCAGGGCUUGACAUGCAUUGCUAAACCCGUGAAAGCGGGUGAGUCUUCGGACACCUUGCACAGGUGCUGCAUGGCCGUCGUCAGCUCGUGUCGUGAGAUGUUGGGU